rnacentral:lncRNA from 1 species
GCCGCUGCGCGAAGGAGGCAUUUCCGUUUAUGGCUGUUUAGCUCCUUAAACAUUUCAAGUCAUACAGAAAUAACUAGUGUAAAAAAAAAAAAAGGUGGCUGUGUAGGUUCUUUCCCGUGAGGUGCAGGUCAGGCUCUUCAGCCCCUUUAGGACCACCAACGUGCCUGGUCCCCACGACUCGCGGCUGCCUCCUCUCGGGCCGGGGCAGGGAGGAGCCGCUACUGCCGGUUAUCUUCGGACACGUUGUGGGCCAGCCAGUUCACUCGGUUUCCAGCUCUCGCGGAGGGCUUCGUUAAACUUCACUCGGAAGUGCUUCGUUAAACUUCACUCGGAAGUGCUUCGUUAAACUUCACUCGGAAGUGCUUCAGCGCCUCCUCUGUUUUCCCCGGUGCCAGGGAGUCCUUGAGAUACCGGAUGUCUUUGGAGCAGCUGAGCUCAGGCAGGCCUGCUGCCUGCAUCAGGGCAAAGAGGUGGAGGAAGAGAAGCCCGUGGCGCCGCAGGAUGGUGUUAGGCCCUUUCACAGUAGCCCCGGAACCUUUCAAAUUUCUCAUAUUAUUAGUCUUCCCCUGCUCAAUCACAUGGACAAAGUCAUAGGUGAGGAUGAAUGGGACACGCUGACGGUUGAUUCCAAACGUGGUCUUGAAAUUCCCCCAGAAAGUGGCAAAAAUCAAUGUGGAACAGCUGCCCACUCGCUCGGAUCAUGAUGUUGUCGCUGUGCCGAUCACCGAUGCCCAGCACUGUGAAACUACAACUGUGUUUAUAAGGAGGAUGCCACUGGAAAUGAAUUCUGCUCAAAGAAUGAACUCUCUACACACAUCAUCUUUCUCUCACAGACAUCAUACCACCUCAAGCACUGCAGCCUCAAAAGGGGAAAUUCCUGAGUGAUUCUUCUUGAAGCUUAAAUUCUGUGGGAUUUUUAUGGUGGAAAACUUAGGAGAGGAACCAGACAGCCCAUCUAGGAGCUGAUACUCUUCUAGUGAAGACCACCCUUGCAGGAAAGCAUCUGUCCUCCCAGAAUCCGGAUGUUAGGUUUGAGAAUUUACUAAUGUGUGACUUCUCUGAAACAAUUUAUUUAGGAAAAAAGGUUGAAUAAAUAUAUACUCAAUAAAAGUAUUGCAAAAAUUAAAUAAA